GAGGACCGAACCGACUAAUGUUGAAAAAUUAGCGGAUGACCUGUGGCUGGGGGUGAAAGGCCAAUCAAACCGGGAGAUAGCUGGUUCUCCCCGAAAGCUAUUUAGGUAGCGCCUCGUGAAUUCAUCUCCGGGGGUAGAGCACUGUUUCGGCUAGGGGGCCAUCCCGGCUUACCAACCCGAUGCAAACUGCGAAUACCGGAGAAUGUUAUCACGGGAGACACACGGCGGGUGCUAACGUCCGUCGUGAAGAGGGAAACAACCCAGACCGCCAGCUAAGGUCCCAAAGUCAUGGUUAAGUGGGAAACGAUGUGGGAAGGCCCAGACAGCCAGGAUGUUGGCUUAGAAGCAGCCAUCAUUUAAAGAAAGCGUAAUAGCUCACUGGUCGAGUCGGCCUGCGCGGAAGAUGUAACGGGGCUAAACCAUGCACCGAAGCUGCGGCAGCGACACUGUGUGUUGUUGGGUAGGGGAGCGUUCUGUAAGCCUGCGAAGGUGGCCUGUGAGGG
rnacentral:rRNA from 1 species